rnacentral:rRNA from 1 species
UGGCGGCGUGCCUAACACAUGCAAGUCGAACGAGAUCCAUGGGAGCUUGCUCCCGGAAGAUCUAGUGGCGAACGGGUGAGUAACACGUGAGAAACCUGCCUGGAGUGGGGAAUAACUCGGGGAAACUCGAGCUAAUACCGCAUACCCUCGGAUGGUCGCAUGGCCGACCGAGGAAAGAUUUAUCGCUCUAGGAGGGGUCUCGCGGCCUAUCAGCUAGUUGGUGGGGUAACGGCCUACCAAGGCAACGACGGGUAGCUGGUUUGAGAGAACGAUCAGCCACACUGGGACUGAGACACGGCCCAGACUCCUACGGGAGGCAGCAGUGGGGAAUCUUGCGCAAUGGGCGAAAGCCUGACGCAGCAACGCCGCGUGCGGGAUGACGGCCUUCGUGGUUGUAAACCGCUUUCAGCAGGGACGAAAAUGACGGUACCUGCAGAAGAAGCCCCGGCUAACUACGUG